AAUAGUCAAACAAAUUAGCAAUGGAGCCACCAAGAGAGUACAUUCAACCUGAUUCAAAGAUGUCUCAAUUUAUCAGUUUUCUGUCAAUCAUUAAACAACAAAAAUGAAACAUGCAAUUAUACACAAGGAGAAAUAACUCCUAAUUCUUUCAUUCUAGCUGAAGCAGAAGAGUUUUAAUUGCUUGGAAAAAUAAGAUUUUUAUUUU
ensembl:misc_RNA